CAGGCGGCGGGCGGCGCUAUCGACCCCGACGUGUUCAAGAUCCUGGUGGACCUGCUGAAGCUGAACGUGGCCCCCCUCGCCGUCUUCCAGAUGCUCAAGUCCAUGUGUGCCGGGCAGAGGCUAGCGAGCGAGCCCCAGGACCCUGCGGCCGUGUCUCUGCCCACGUCGAGCGUGCCCGAGACCCGAGGUCAGAGCUGGGCCCGCUGUCCCUGCCCCAGUGGCGGGGGUGGCGGGCGGGGAGGGGGCAGGCGCGGCACAGCGGCGGCGUGGCCCUGAGUGGCCAGGCCUGUCUGUCGGUCUAGGCCCAGCACCUGCAGGGCCCAUCCGUGGGCUCUGCUCCUGGGCUUCGCUGCCAGCCUUAGGAGGCACGUCCAGGUCAGGUGGACGCAGAGUGCGUACCCCAGGGUGGUCCAGGCUGGGUAGGGCUCCUCCGCUUAGCUCCCCUCCACCUCUUCACUCAGGCCUUCAUCCUACAACGUCGGGAAUCAAGACAGUUUGGGGCUGGGCGCCCUGGCUCACGCCUAUAAUCUUUGGGACCCCAGGGCGGGAGGAUCGUUUGAGGCCAUGAGUUUUAGACCACUCU
rnacentral:lncRNA from 1 species